AUCAAAGGCUAGAGUGGUGACUAUAAUGACAGAGGAAGAAGCAUUAAGCCAAGGGACCCAGGUGGCCUCUAGACACUUGAAAAGGGCACGAGAGUGAGUUCUCUUCUGUGGCCUCCAGAAGCGUGGAGCACGGCCUCGCCAACACCCCUAUUUCAGGAUUUCUUACUUCCCUCGCGGGAAGACGCUAAAUUUGUUUUAAGCUACUAAGUUUGUUUUAAUUUGUUUUUGCAGCAGUAAGAAACUAAUACAACCUAUUGCGAGCGAUCAGAUCACGCCUGCUAGCUUGAGAGAGGAAUGACUUGGCAAAUCGAUGGCUCCGCGUGAAUCUUCAUACAGUUUCCCCGACCGACCGCCGUCCCCCCUGUUCGGAGAAGAAGACCUCUUCUCCUGAUCAAGGAUGCCCUCAGCCUGCCUUGCCGUCCUCUGCUCUAGAAGCCUGGUCCUCCCUGGUGUCCUGCCCAGGGUCGUCCUCAUCAUCUUCCCCUUGCCCUCAGCACCAUCCCUUUUCUAAGCAGCAUCCUCUGUUACCUUCCCCCCCACUCCACGGCAAAGCUGAAAACUUGUGUUUAUGGGGUAAAUAGAAGCGCCACCACUUAAGGAAGGGGCAGGGGCUCUC
rnacentral:lncRNA from 1 species